rnacentral:rRNA from 1 species
GCACAAGCGGUGGAGCAUGUGGUUUAAUUCGAAGCAACGCGAAGAACCUUACCAGGUCUUGACAUCUUCUGACAAUCCUAGAGAUAGGACUUUCCCCUUCGGAGGACAGAGUGACAGGUGGUGCAUGGUUGUCGUCAGCUCGUGUCGUGAGAUGUUGGGUUAAGUCCCGCAACGAGCGCAACCCUUAUUCUUAGUUGCCAGCAUUAAGUUGGGCACUCUAAGGAGACUGCCGGUGACAAACCGGAGGAAGGUGGGGAUGACGUCAAAUCAUCAUGCCCCUUAUGACCUGGGCUACACACGUGCUACAAUGGAUGGUACAAAGGGCUGCAAAACCGCGAGGUCAAGCCAAUCCCAUAAAACCAUUCUCAGUUCGGAUUGUAGGCUGCAACUCGCCUACAUGAAGCCGGAAUCGCUAGUAAUCGUGGAUCAGCAUGCCACGGUGAAUACGUUCCCGGGC